rnacentral:rRNA from 1 species
AUACGUAGGGGGCAAGCGUUAUCCGGAAUUACUGGGUGUAAAGGGAGAGUAGGCGGCAUGAUAAGUUAGAUGUGAAAGCCUUGGGCUUAACCCGAGGAUUGCAUUUGGAACUAUCAAACUAGAGUACAGGAGAGGUAAGUGGAAUUCCUAGUGUAGCGGUGAAAUGCGUAGAUAUUAGGAAGAACACCAGUGGCGAAGGCGACUUACUGGACUGAAACUGACGCUGAGGCUCGAAAGCGUGGGGAGC